UGGUCAGCGAAUUCCCUCAGGGGAAUAA
rnacentral:piRNA from 2 species